rnacentral:tRNA from 1 species
GCCAGUGUGGUGUAGUGAUUUGAACACUGGACUAUGACUCUGGAGACCAGGGUUAGAAUCCCCACUCUGUCA